ensembl:snRNA U6 U6 spliceosomal RNA
CCACUUUCAGCAGCACAUAUGCUGUAACUGCACAAUACAGAGAACAUCAGCAUGGCACCAGCAUAGGAAUGACAUGCAAAUCUGUGGCAUGUUCCAUUAUUAU